GAUUUCCCUAGUAACGGCGAGUGAAGAGGAAAGAGCUCAAAGUUGGAACCUGUUUGGCCUAGCUAAACCGGAUUGUAGACUGUAGAAGUGUUUUCCAGGCAAGCCGAGUAAAUAAGUCCUUUGGAACAGGGCAUCAUAGAGGGUGAGAAUCCCGUCUUUGGCUUGAGCAUUUGCCUUUUGUGAUACGCUUUCAAAGAGUCAGGUUGUUUGGGAAUGCAGCCUAAAUUGGGUGGUAAAUCUCACCUAAAGCUAAAUAUUGGCGAGAAACCGAUAGCGAACAAGUACCGUGAGGGAAAGAUGAAAAGAACUUUGAAAAGAGAGUUAAACAGUAUGUGAAAUUGUUAAAAGGGAACCGUUUGGAGCCAGACUGGCUUGUCUGUAAUCAAUCUAGGCUUCGGCCUGGAUGCACUUGCAGGCUAUGCCUGCCAACGACAAUUUGACUUGAGGGAAAAAACUAGGGGAAAUGUGGCCCACUUGUGGGUGUUAUAGUCCCUUAGAAAAUACCUUGGGUUGGAUUGAGGAACGCAGCGAAUGCUUUUUGGCGAGUUUUCCAGGAAGGUUUUCUGAGGUACUACGGUAUCAAGGUUGAUCUUUUUGGUUAUACUUCUAUUCGCUUAGGUUGUUGGCUUAAUGACUCUAAAUGA
rnacentral:rRNA from 2 species